rnacentral:misc_RNA from 1 species
GAUGAAGAACGAAGCGAAAUGCGAUAAGUAAUGUGAAUUGCAGAAUUCAGUGAAUCAUCGAAUCUUUGAACGCACAUUGCGCCCGCCAGUAUUCUGGCGGGCAUGCCUGUCCGAGCGUCAUUUCAACCCUCGAACCCCUCCGGGGGGUCGGCGUUGGGGACCUCGGGAGCCCCUAAGACGGGAUCCCGGCCCCGAAAUACAGUGGCGGUCUCGCCGCAGCCUCUCCUGCGCAGUAGUUUGCACAACUCGCACCGGGAGCGCGGCGCGUCCACGUCCGUAAAACACCCAACUUCUGAAAUGUUGACCUCGGAUCAGGUAGGAAUACCCGCUGAACUUAAGCAUAUCAAUAAGCGGAGGA